UACGAGAGGCCCAAACGUUUAUUCGGAUUUACUGGGCUUAAAGAGUUCGUAGGCGGCGCAGAAAGUAGGGUGUGAAAGCCCUCGGCUCAACCGAGGAAUUGCGCUUUAAACUACUGUGCUUGAGGAACCUAGAGGUGAGCGGGAACUGAUGGUGGAGCGGUGAAAUGCGUUGAUACCAUCAGGAGCACCGGAGGCGAAGGCGGCUCACUGGGGGGUUAUCUGACGCUGAGGGAACGAAAAGCCAGGGGAGCGAACGGG
rnacentral:rRNA from 1 species